rnacentral:lncRNA from 1 species
CUAGGACAAGGCUGGAGAGCAGUCGCUCCAUCCAGUCACCGUUUCCCGCAUCUGGACGCCUGCAUCAUCCCCUGGACAGCCAUGCAGAACCCGCCCUGUGCAGGCAUUGGAGGGCCGGGGACAGGAGGCUAACCCUCCAUGGUGGGGUCCAGGCUACCCCGCACAGCAUCCUGCAAGGUUCCCUGUUCGCUGGUGCGGGUCUAUGAGGAGGAAACACACAGAAACCAAAAGAUGGAAUCAGGCUGUCUCGGGCCACUUCCUUCCGCCACAGCUCUGCCUGGAGUGCCAGCCCCAGCACAGGUGAAUACACAGAACCAGCGCCUCCCUCCUGGAGCUUUCCUGGGGAGACCAGUGAGGGUGAACAAGGAAGCGGAUAGAGAACUCCCCGCAGCCUCCUGCCUCCUAACUCACACAGCCCUGGUUAUAGCCUUUUGUUAUCACGUUGGGGCAGUUUAGGCCUCAGGAAGCUGAAUCUCAAGACCCUAAUCUGACUGUGGGUCAGAAGAUCCUCAUUCCAGGGUGGGUUCUGCCUCAUCCCCUAGAGGAAGAAAUGCUGCCGAGAAGCUGAGAAGAGUCUGGGCCAGGCGUGGUGGCUCAUGCCUGUAAUCCCAAGACUGGGAGCCCAAGGCGGGCAGAUCACCUGAAGUCAGGAGUUCGAGGCCAGCCUGGCCAACACGGCAAAACCCCAUCUGUACUAAAAAUACAAAAAUUAGUCGGGCAUGGUGGCACGUGCCUGUAAAACCAGCUACUGGGGGUGCUGAGCCAGGAGAAUUGCUUGAACCUGGAAGGCAGAGGUUGCAGUGAGCCGAGAUCACACCACUACACUCCAGCCUGGGUGACAAAGUGAGGCUCCGUCUCAAAAAAAAAAAAAAGAAGAAUCUGGACAGACAAGCCCUGCUGAGUUUACACCACGCCCUGUGUAUCCAGUUGCAUUUCUACAUGGUUGUCAAUCAUUCCUGUCCAACGAUGUCUCCAUCAAAGGCCCAAGAGGACAGGGUUCAGGGACCUUUCAGAGAGCUGACCACGCAGAGGCUCCUGGAGGGGCUGCCCAGGGAGGGCAUGGCAGCUCCACGCCCCUUCCCCGUACCUCGUCUGUGCAUCUCUUCAUGUAUAUUCUUUGCAAUAUCACUUAUAAUAAACCAGGAAACGUGUUUCCCUGACUCCCGUGAGCCACUCUAGCAAAUUAAUCAAACCCAAAGAGGGGGUUGUGGGAACCCCAACAUCAAGAAGUUGGUCAGAAGGCCCAGACGUGCAGCUCAUGUCUGGAGUAGGGGGGGAGGUCUUAGGACUGAGCCCUCUCCCUGUGUGAUCAGACACCGUCUCCAGGUAGAGGGGUCAGAAUAGAAUCGGAGGAUGCCCCUGUUGGUGUCCGCUACAGCAGUGUUGCUCACUCAGUGGUGGGGAGAAGCCCCAACUCUGCGUUUGCUCACAGGAGUCUUCUAUGUUGAUGAUGUCGUGGUGUUGAAGUUGAUGAUGUCAUGGUGUUCAUGAUGUCAUGGUCUUGAUGAUGUGUUGAUGAUGCAGUGUUGAUGAUGUCCUUGUGUUGAUGAUGUCUUGGUAUUAAUGAUGCCGUGUUGACGUCAUGGUUUUGAUGUUGUCAUGGUGUUGAUGUCACGGUGCUGAUCUCAUGGUGUUAAUGAUGCAGUGUUGAUGAUGUCCUUGUGUUGAUGAUGUCAUGGUAUUAAUGAUGCCAUGUUGAUGUCAUGGUUUUGAUGUUGUCAUGGUGUUGAUGAUGUCACGGUGCUGGUCUCAUGGUGUUAAUGAUGUAGUGUUGAUGAUGUCAUGGGGUUGAUGAUGUUGUGUUCAUGAUGUCAUGGUGCUGAUGUGGUGUUGAUGUUGAUGUGUUGAUAUCAUGGUGUUGAUAAUAUCGUGGUUUUGACGAUGUCAUAGUGCUGAUGAUGGUGUCAUGGGGUUGCUGAGGUCGUGGUGUGGAUGAUUUCCUGGUAUUAAUGAUGCGGAG